UCAACAAGAGGAUUCAAGAGAGUUCUAGAGAAAAAAGGAAGAGAACAAACUUGAAGAUAGAGAAAGAAUAGGUUCGGCCAAGGGAAAAAAAGCCCAAAACAUCACCGAACAGCCCCAAAGUUUUAGCCGCGCUAGGAGAGCUUCCGAGGCAAGUUUUGGAGAGUUUCGGUAAAGACUAACAAGUUGGAAGAAUAAGAAAAGCUAGUAAGGCGCGGUACAGGUA